UAUACCAAGCAUCUUUUUGGCGAUAGGUGAUUUAGGCGAGGUCUCUUUUCUUUAUAAUUUUUAAUACUUGUGUGCGCGUGUGUGUGCAUGCGUGUAUAUAUAUAUAUAUAUAAAAAUGUAGUUAUUCACAAAAAAAAUAUUAAAACACUAACAUCUAAUCGAGGGGAAGCGAAAAUUCGAGGACUUAACUGUAAUUGAAGACGCGUUUUGCAUUGGAUCUAAUUCGAUGGUGUGUACCUCAUGCUGUGGCUGGUGGUUGUAGCUUGGAGGCACGAGCUAUCUUUUUGUUGUUCUUUACUGUAUUUAUGAUACUUGAGGCAAGUUACCAGCGCAGAUGAAGCUGAGCCUUGAAUGAAGAGCUGGAAACUGCCUUGUUGUGAAUGUAUGAACAUCACUACGUGCUGCAAUCUGCUACUUACAGACUUCUGCAGACAAGCAAUCAUCUGCAUUUUUUUUUGUUUGACACCUCAUAACAUACCUUUCAUAUUUUCUUACAUCUGGCUGCUGUUGAGACAGGGCAGGCUGAUGAUGACGUCACAGUUAUCAAGACCACUUCCCUGCCUUCUUUUUGUUUUCACUGCAGUAUACAUGAGCACUGUUUCCCAUUGUCAUUCCCAAUGACAAUAAACAAGUAUAUUGUA